CAUGCAGAUAGUGGAUGCCUUGGCAACACAUGCCGAAGAAGGACGCACUAGACGGCGAAACUCGCCGGGGAGCUGUCAAGAAGCUUUGAUCCGGCGGUGUCCGAAUGGGGAAACCCGGCCCAGGUUAUUCUGGGUCAUCCGUGGCUUUUGUCACGGAAGGGUACGCGCAGAACUGAAAUAUCUAAGUACGCGCUGGAAAAGACAUCGAAAGAGAUUCCCUGAGUAAGCGACGAGCGAAAAGGGAACAGCCUAAACCCAUCGUAAGAUGGGGGUUGCAGGAGCCCAAUAUUGGAUUGUAUCUGUUGAAUAGAACGCUAUGGAAUGAGCGACCAAAGAACGUGACAGUCGUGUAUAUGAAAAACAGAUGCACCAUAGGGAUUUCCUAAGUACUUUCGGAGACGGCAAACUCCGGGAAGAAUCUGGGGCGACCACGCUCCAAGGCUAAAUACAUGUGUUGACCGAUAGCGAACGAGUACCGUGAGGGAAAGGUGAAAAGAAGGGUCGAAGACCCCGUGAAAUAGAAACUGAAACUAUCUGCUAACAAGCAGACAGAGUCCGCAAGGAUGAUGUCGUGCCUAUUGAAGAAUGAACCGGCGAGUUAUGGUCUGUUCCAAGUGUAAGCCGUUGAAACGGCGGACGCGCAGUGAAAGCGAGCCUGAAUAGGGCGCCAAGGAACACACUAUAGACCCGAAACCAGGUGAGCUACCCAUGAUCAGGUUGAACGUACGGUAAAACGUGCGGGAGGACCGAACCGUUCAGAGUUGCAAGUCUGUCGGAUGAAUUGUGGGUAGAGGUUAUAUGCCUAUCGAACCUGGAGAUAGCUGGUUCUCCCCGAAAUAUAUUUAGGUAUAGGCUCAUGAUUAGGCUGAUGGGGGUAGAGUACUGGAUGAAUUUUUUGGUCGCAAGAUCAAAAAUUUAACCAAACUCCGAAUACCGUCAGUUCGUGCAUGGGACUCAGUAUGGCGGAGCUAAGUUCGCCAGGCGAGAGGGAAACAUCCCAGACUUUCGUCUAAGGUCUCUAAAUAUUCCUCAGUGGGAAAGAUAGUCUUGGUCCCCAAACACCUAGGAGGUCGGCUCAGAAGCAGCCAUCCUUGAAAGAAAGCGUAACAGCUCACUAGCCGAGGAUCAGGGCGUCGAAAACGUAUCGAGGCUUAAGGAAUAUACCGAAGACAAAGAUUUAUAUAUUUUCGUAAGAAAUUAUGUGAGUGGUAGGGGAGCGUUCCGGGUGCUGUGAAGGCGGCGAGAAAUCGAUCUGCUGGAGCGACCGGAAGUGCGAAUGCCGGUAUGAGUAGCGUACAUGAAGUGAGAAUCUUCAUCUCCGAAUGUUCAAGGUUUCCGCACCCACGUUUGUCGUGUGCGGGUAAGGCGACCCUUAGGCGAGGCCGAAUGGCGUAGCUGAUGGAUAACCAGUUGAUAUUCUGGUCCUUGAUAACAAUCGUUAUGACUUGGGGAGGGACGGAUUUGGAUACUGCGUGCGCUCUGUCGAAGAUAGAGCCGCACAAGCAACGAGAUAAUGUCUGUUGGCAAACCCGCAGAUAUGUUUAAUCGAAUUGUGAUGUGGAGUCUGUUCCGCAAGGAACGGGCAAGACGCAGGACUUCAGGUUCCUAGAAAAGCUUCGCAAGCAGAGUGUUAUUAAAUCGUACCGAUAACCGACACAGGUGAACUGGCCGAGAAGGCUAAGGAGAACGAGAGACAAUGGUUUAAGGAAUUCGGCAAAACAGCUGGGCGUACCCUUGGUAUAUGCCCUUCUCUCCGCAAGGAGAGGCGCAGCGAAAGACUGGAGACUGACUGUUUAACAAAAACACAGGUCCGUGCAAACUCGAAAGAGGACGUAUACGGGCUGAAACCUGCCCAGUGCCGGAAGGUUAACUGCGAGAGUGGUACCCGCAAGGGUACUGCUUUCAAUUGAAGCCCCGGUGAACGNNGUAACUAUAACUGUUCUAUGGUAUCAAAACGUUGCCAUAGUAAAAUUGCGCUGUAUGCUGGAAAAUCUGUAACACAAAGAUGGUAUCUUUAGUGUUUUAGAAGGAUGGCUAGUUGAUAUUCGGUAAAUAUUUGGGUAUUAUAAAAGUGAUGCCCAAUAUUUCUUCAACUGACAAUGCCAUACCUGCAGAAAACCAGCAGGAAACGAGUAAAGUCGAUAAUUUUUAUAUUUCAGGAUUUUGCGCCGGAGAAAUGUCUUGUUCUGUUAUCAAACAGUCAAGACCAUAUGGGUCUGGAUUUUCAUAUAGUCCAGAUCUCACAGUUUCUAAUGAAGACCUUUAUCUUUUAGCAAAAGUGAAUGCACGUUUAUGUAAUAGUAGGGGAGUUAUUUCACCCAUUCAUGGAGGAUAUAACUUAAGUAUGCGUGGAAAGAAAAAAGUUGCUUUAGCGCUUUCUUUCUUUUCACAAUACCCAAUUAUUGCAGGAGAUAUUGCAAACGCUAAAAUUUCAUUGCUUCAACAAGCAAUGAAUAUUUU
rnacentral:rRNA from 1 species